rnacentral:rRNA from 1 species
CUGACGGGUGAGUAAUGCCUAGGAAUCUGCCUGGUAGUGGGGGACAACGUUUCGAAAGGAACGCUAAUACCGCAUACGUCCUACGGGUAGAAAGCAGGGGACCUUCGGGCCUUGCGCUAUCAGAUGAGCCUAGGUCGGAUUAGCUAGUUGGUGAGGUAAUGGCUCACCAAGGCGACGAUCCGUAACUGGUCUGAGAGGAUGAUCAGUCACACUGGAACUGAGACACGGUCCAGACUCCUACGGGAGGCAGCAGGC